UAAACAAGCUUUGAGCACAGGUGUGUUUCUGAUGGUCUUUGCCCGGUGAAUGUUGACACCACCUACCCUUGAAGAUAGCCUUGAGCAAAUCAGGACUCUAGCAGCUGUCUCUCUUCCUUCCUGAACCUUCUAGACCUGUGCUUGCCUGUGGCGGGAGACCUGCUUUUCACCUCUUUGUGGAAAAGCCUGCAGCAGAUCUGAGAGCCCUGAGACUGCAAUUGGAUUAUGGUGCUGGUUCUUCAUCCUGCCACUUCCUGGAUGACCCCAGUGCAAAUACUCCUGGUAAUGCCAGCUGUUGUUUCUGUCUGCUUAGUAGCUCCACCAGCACCUUGCUUUCCCUCUGUGGGUCCCCCUCCACUUCUCCAGAUGGGCCCGGAUCUAACACAACCACCCCAGUGCCAUGUGACCUACACUUAUCAAAGAACCCCAUCCCCAGGCCACAAUAAUUAGGUCUGGGAUGAGGACAUGACUUUGGAGGGUCUCAUUCUUCUGGGAUUAUGAGCUUUAUACAGAGCCUCAUUCUGCCUGCAGUCAUCUUCCUUCGUGUCUGGAUGGAUAGUCUGCAGGCUGAAGCCAAUCUACACCGGACGUAAAGGAAACGCCUUUUUUAGAAGGUGAGUAGGAUAAAGGAGGGAUCGAUAUAAAGUACAUCCAGAAUCAUCAAGAUGUUGUGUCUUUCUGCACUGAUUAAAUAUUUCCGGCAUUCCUAGAACCAGGCAGGAGCACACAAAAAUUCUGCAACUGGAGCUGCAUGGAACUGAACACCAAGACAAGCUUUCAGAGUUUCUGGCAGCCUACAGAGGCAGGUCCUGGGUAUGGCCACCAAGACCCUUCUUAUCCAGAUUGAACCACCCAGCUUCUUGGUGUUCCUGCCAGACCCCAGAC